rnacentral:tRNA from 1 species
GAGGCCGUAGCUCACCGGUAGAGCACCCGGACAGACCGGAAGGAAGGGGGUUCAAUUCCCUUCGGCUUCU